AGCAUCUGGCAAUGAUCGGGGGAAUGGCGAUGGUAAGCGAAUGAAGAAUGAUGUGUCGGCAAAAGCAUCUGGCAAUGAUCGGGGGAAUGGCGAUGGUAAGCGAAUGAAGAAUGAUGUGUCGGCAAAAGCAUCUGGCAAUGAUCGGGGGAAUGGCGAUGGUAAGCGAAUGAAGAAUGAUGUGUCGGCAAAAGCAUCUGGCAAUGAUCGGGGGAAUGGCGAUGGUAAGCAAAUGAAGAAUGAUGUGUCGGCAAAAG